UGCGGUUUCGAGGUUAUCUCCCGAUGCCUCAGCGUCACUAGCCUCUUGUAAUCUCGGCUCUUAAGUGUCUUUGCCUCAAAUCGUGAGGCUUCGAAGAAAUAUCGCGAUGCUUCCGCUUUUAAUCUUUUCGACAGCAGUCCCUGUGAGAAAAUUUUAAAAGUCAGUUUUUAGCAUCAUGAGUUGGUGAAUUGUUUAUGCGUACUGUUCAGGUUGGUACAGUAUUUGUUUUGGAAAUUAGGGGAGAAAAAAAAAGGAUGUGUCAGAAGUGGGAUUCGAACCCACGCCUCCAUUCGGAGACCAGAAUCCCCAGCGCGGGGAAGCGAAGCUUGAGUCUGGCGCCUUAGACCACUCGGCCAUCCUGACACCCUGCGAAAAGCGGGUGAUUUUUUCGGUAAAAUAGAUACCAGAAGCAGCGGCUCUGUGACGUACGCUCGAGGAAGUGUUGAUGUCAGUGUUGCCGGGUAACGGCCGGAGAGGGAAAAAGCCGCCUGUGGAUUGAAGAGGAAGAAUUUCGCGGGCGGAGAAAAAAUGUUUAUGCAUAAAACUGGACACAGUUCUCUCGGGGACCUUACAACUGUCAUCCCCAUCUCGCGAAGGGAGUGCAAACACUUCCUGGGCCCAGACGGCCCAUAUUUCGGGAAGGAAGGAAAGGAAAGAAAGAAUAUCGUUUUGCCUGGGUCGCUCCGUCGGUCCUCCAGCCUCUAAUCCUCAUCGAAAUCUUGAGUGUGGUUAGCCUCGCUCUGGGGUUUCUUUCUUUUGGAGAUAGUGAGGAACAACAACGAAUCUAAAAAAAGACCCCGAUUCAGUGGCAUGGCCCCCUCGAUCUCUAUUUAGGUUCCUUUUCGUCCCCAGAACUGCCUUGCCACUCCUUGGGCAGUUUCUUUUGGGCUCCGAAAGCAACAGCUGGGGACAGCCUGGGGAAGUCCGUGUAGGGUCGACGGCUCCCGCCGGGGCGGGCGGGACAAGCCAUGUCUGCUCCGGGGGUCUGACCCGUCCCGGGUCCAGAGAACCCCCUGGAGGGACCCGCUGGCCUCCCCACCUUCCCAGUCUCGCUCAGACGUUCCAAAUUAAAAGUCUCCGUGGCGUCCAUUGCCGGGGCGGGCAUGACUGGCAGUUAUUUUUAAGGGAGAUGGCGGGGUGAGAAUCAGGGGGACGAGCUGCAUCUUUACAGCUUUCUCAGCUUUGCGCAAAGUAAUCUGAGUUGUGGUCUGCAAGGCCCGAGGUCACAUAUUACAAUGAAGACUUGAGACUAAACAAUAAGAACUUAUUCUUCCAACGAGACUGAGAGCUUUCAGGGGUCAGUCCUUGUCUACUCUUGGGGAAGAUGUUCUUCUUUGCCGGUCAGGCCAGUUUCAGGAAAAAACAGCAGCAAAAGAACUGGAGAAUGAGGAGUUGUUGAAGCCUCAAUACGUAGUUAAGAACUGCAGAUAUUCUGAGGAAAGAACCAGAGGAGCCAAAGGAAUGCUACUGUGUCCCAUGUCUGCUUUAAGGGGUUCAAAUCCUGAUUUGAUGAAUUCAAAUGUUGCUUACCUUUCUGCAGCAACUACCUUGGACUCUAAGAAGGAGGACCAUAUCUCAGAGACGGCAGAAGAGUGAACGGAAAGAAACCUGAGAGGCUGAUGACCACUGGAGCCCCCAUACCAGUCCUGGGCUACCUACUUACACAUUUCUUAUAUGAAGUUGGCAGAAAACCCACCUAUGGGCUGGCCCUCCUGGGAGAAACCAGGGAGACAAGGAACACAACUCACAGUCAAGGAGCUAAAAAUCAGACAGAGGAACUGGGAUGCACACUGUUUGGUACAUGAGCACUUCCCAUGUCCUCCUGGACUAUUAGUCAAGGAUCUCGUGACUUCAACUUUACUAGCUCAAGCAUCCCACCGUUGGAACACAACUGCAUAUUUGUCUAGCUUGCUUUCUUUGACUUUUUACUGUGAAAUAAUUUCAAAUACACAGAAAAUCUGCUAGUACAAAGA